CCUCAGGAAGAAUCAAAACAGGGGCUCAGGGCCUUGUGGAUGGACUCUGCCCAUGUUCCGUGGCCCCAAGAGUCAAGACUCAAAAAUAUUCUUUCGUGCAAUAUCCGUAAAGCACAGGAAAGGACUCCUAGUCCCAGGUCCACCAGACACCGACCCAGAUCCUGUCUGCUCUGCCCGCCUCAAAUUGCUUCCCUCCUUGCUCCGCUUCACUGUGUGAACACUGAGGUUUUCUUUGGAAAAGGCACCAGGCUCACGGUUGUAGACGAUCUGAGCCAGGUGCACCCGCCCAAGGUGGCUGUGUUCGAACCCUCGGAAGCAGAGAUCUCCCGGACCCAGAAGGCCACGCUCGUGUGCCUGGCCACGGGCUUCUACCCCGACCACGUGGAGCUGACCUGGUGGGUGAACAGGAAGCAGGUCACCACUGGGGUCAGCACGGACCCUGAGCCCUACAAGGAGGACCCCACGCGGGAGGACUCCAGAUACUGUCUGAGCAGCCGGCUGAGAGUGACCGCCGCCUUCUGGCACAACCCCCGCAACCACUUCCGCUGCCAAGUCCAGUUCCACGGGCUCACGGACGAGGACACGUGGGAGCAGAAGGACAGGGCCAAGCCCAUCACCCAGAACAUCAGCGCCGAUGCCUGGGGCAGAGCAGACUGUGGUGUCACUUCUGCAUCUUAUCAGCAAGGGGUCCUGUCUGCCACCCUCCUCUAUGAGAUCCUGCUGGGGAAGGCCACCCUGUAUGCUGUGCUGGUCAGCGCCCUGGUGCUGAUGGCCAUGGUCAAGAGAAAAGAUUCCUGAAGCCAGCUUAGAAGUGGAGCCAGGAGCUUCCAGCCUGUUGCUGCCCUGAUGUGAAUUCUGCUUUUCCCGUUCCUACCCAGCGCUUCUGAAGAACUGCCCUCAUCUCUGGACUCAGCCCAGCAUCCACUCCCAUGUGUGGGUGCCCCAAACUAGGGCGGACCAGGAUCUCCCUGACCCAGGGGAGACCCUAGGGGGGCUGAACUUCCUGAACCAAUAAAAAUGGCCUGUUGUGUUA